UCUCCGUUGGUGAACCAGCGGAGGGAUCAUUACCGAGUUUACAACUCCCAAACCCCUGUGAACAUACCAUUUGUUGCCUCGGCGGUGCCUGCUUCGGCAGCCCGCCAGAGGACCAAAACCCUUGAUUUUAUACAGUAUCUUCUGAGUAAAUGAUUAAAUAAAUCAAAACUUUCAACAACGGAUCUCUUGGUUCUG
rnacentral:misc_RNA from 1 species